GACGAACGCUGGCGGCGUGCUUAACACAUGCAAGUCGAGCGGUAAGGCCCUUUCGGGGGGUACACGAGCGGCGAACGGGUGAGUAACACGUGGGUGACCUGCCCUCAGCUCUGGGAUAAGCCUGGGAAACCGGGUCUAAUACUGGAUAUGACUCCAUGACGCAUGUUGGUGGGGUGGAAAGCCUUGUGCGGCUGAGGAUGGGGCCCGCGGCCUAUCAGCUUGUUGGUGGGGUGANGGCCUACCAAGGCGACGACGGGUAGCCGGCCUGAGAGGGCGACCGGCCACACUGGGACUGAGACACGGCCCAGACUCCUACGGGAGGCAGCAGU
rnacentral:rRNA from 1 species